GCCAAUGAAGUUCACAUUUAUUACCCGCAAUUCCCAUCGAUAUACCCCUGAUCCCUCCUCCCCUUCCUCGUCCACGAGGCUAGAGCGAUACCCAACCCCACCCGCUCGCCCCUGUUGCUCUCACGGCUCAUGGGGGCGGCUAGGAUUUGGAAGGCCCACGACAGGCGCUACCACAGGACCGAAGCGCGCCACCCCUAACUGGAACCCUAGUGAGAUCCGGUCCUGACGCCGAUGCAGAUGGCCGAAGAAGAAGACGACGCCCAGAUCCAGGCCGCAGUGUCCACCACCUCCAUCCUGCCUCGUCAGGCCGCCUCCAGCCCGCCGGCUCCCGCGUAGCUGUAACACCGCCGACGACCCCAGUCCGUUGCCUUCUCCUAUGCUCCACCAGCUACCCCUCCGCUUUGCCGGCGCCCCCUAGCGCCGCCAUCGCCCACUCCACCGGCGCCUCCUCCCCUCUGCUCCGUCUGAGAUCUGCAGCCCCGGCCGUCGCCAACUACGCGCAGGAACGGGCCUCGGCGUCCUCGACUCGUCAAGGAACAGAUCAAACGUGCAGGGCUACUUCGUGUGCUCUGAAUUCUGAAGUUCUCUUCUGCAGAUUGAUUCAUCAUUUGAUCUGAAGUCCUCCAGCUUGCCGGCUCCCGCGUAGCCGCAGCACCAGCGACGACCCCAGUCCGCAGGUGAAGCUCCAUGCUAUCCUCGCCUAGCGCCCCCACCGUCCCCUCCCCUUCAGAGCAAUAUAUCAGGAGGUGCUGCUGGUGAGGAAGAGCCAGUGUUUGGCUACUUCGUGCCUGCUGAUCAGGAUGGCAAGCAAGAGUAGUGCAUCCUACUCUCGGAGGUCGUGUUUUUGGG